GACGAACGCUGGCGGCGUGCUUAACACAUGCAAGUCGAACGGAAAGGCCCUGCUUUUGUGGGGUGCUCGAGUGGCGAACGGGUGAGUAACACGUGAGUAACCUGCCCUUGACUUUGGGAUAACUUCAGGAAACUGGGGCUAAUACCGGAUAGGAGCUCCUGCUGCAUGGUGGGGGUUGGAAAGUUUCGGCGGUUGGGGAUGGACUCGCGGCUUAUCAGCUUGUUGGUGGGGUAGUGGCUUACCAAGGCUUUGACGGGUAGCCGGCCUGAGAGGGUGACCGGCCACAUUGGGACUGAGAUACGGCCCAGACUCCUACGGGAGGCAGCAGUGGGGAAUAUUGCACAAUAGGCGGAAGCCUGAUGCAGCAACGCCGCGUGCGGGAUGGCGGCCUUCUGGUUGUAAACCGCUUUCGCCUGUGACGAAGCGUGAGUGACGGUAAUGGGUAAAGAAGCACCGGCUAACUACGUG
rnacentral:rRNA from 1 species